GGUAUGAUGAGGUGCGUCUUGUUUCUGGCUCUGAUGGUCUCUGAGGUUUGUGGUGAUAUGAAUCUACAUGACUACUGGAUGUCCUGGAAAAAAGAAUUCAAUAAAAAUUACAGCAGUGUGAGAAUUUGACUCCUAACCCUAAGGUUGUGGGUUCGAUUCUCGGGCCGGCCACGACUGAGGUGCCCUUGAGCAAGGCACCGAACCCCCCAAAUGCUCCCUGGAUGCUGCAGGAUAAAUGGCUGCCCACUGCUCCGGAGAGAGGAAACAUACAGGAGAACAAUCUGGGAGCAGAAUGUUUUGGAAGUGAUGAAGCACAAUGAAGAAGCUGCAGCAGGACAACAUACCUUUACCACUGGGAUCAAUCACCUUUCAGACAUGG